AUGGAUAAAUGGAUGGAUGGAUGAACUCUUAGCUUUCUGCAAAAGUUGGUAUUUUCGGACCCUCUCCUGUUUCUGAGUGUUUGGACGUCUCCACCUGGAGGAAUCCGGGCCUCUUUGGAUCUCGCUGGCCAUUAACCCCCGAGCCACGCCACUCGGGGCGCUCAGUGUCGUGGUCAGCCAUGGUCAGCCGUGGUCAGCGGGAUCUGGGAAGGAUCAGCCUCAGGUCCGUGCAGAUGCGGGUCCUGGAGGAGGCCAUGAGAACCGGCAGCAGCAUCCAUCUCCCUCGUGGUUGUUUUCAGGCCGGGAACAAUGCCGUCUUUAUGGCGAGGUUUUAUCUCUCUGGCCGUGGCCAAAAAUGGUUGCUGUCUUGUGACGGCUGCUGCAUAAAUCAGUCUUGGUGUCAAUGUAAUCAGGCUGGAGCGAGAAUGGGAGGGAGGGGGGUGGAGGUCAUGAAGGCGAUGGGCUGAAAAACAGAGAGUGAAAGAUGAGAGCAGAAGAGAGCUGAAAGGAGGAGAAGAACGACCCCCCACCCCCCCAGUACAGUGUGUGCUUUUAGGAACAACUCAUCCCACCAAAGCAUCCAGGCUGCAUUUGAAUAACUUACCAUAAAUAGAGUUUUUAAUCAACGUGGUCAUCAAAGGGGCUUUCAGUCCUGACGGGGAAGCUGGCAGAAGGGGGUGUUCUUCCAGGUAACCACUUUGGGGGGUUGGGGGGCUUCAGUGACAUCAGAACCAGCAGCACAAUGAAGAAGAACAUGUGUCCUUCAUUUCCUUUGGUGUGAAGCUGCAUGCGACCGAGUGACCAAAACAGAUGCCUGCGUUUGCUGAAGAGCUCUGAGUGUUUCAGUAAAGAUUCUGACUUUCUUCUCUUUCUCACAUAAACCACACUGAUGCAGAUAAUAGCAUCUGAGUGGGAUCAAAGCGCUCCGUCUGCACAUUUCCAGCUCCAUUCACAGAAGUUCACUUCACAGGUCGCGUAUGCGCUCUGCCCCGUACGUGUGCACGUGUGCACACGUGCAGCGCUGCAUCUGCACCCGUUCAUUACAGCUAGAAAACACAAGCAAAGUGAGGAGACAGGCUGUGCUUUGUUGAGCUGCUGCAGAGGAUCAGCCUAAACUGUCAUGAGAUCCGUCAUAAUGUCAGGAGCAGAGCAUCAACACAAUGGCUGCUUGUGAUUAAAGUGGAUUUGGAGCGGCGAGGCUUUUGAAGCUCUGAAACUUUAUCCAAACACCAGUGAGACGGCAACACGGUGACUCAGGACGAUUUCAAAGGAAAAGAAGCGACGGAGCGGCAGACAGGUGUGAACAGUGAGACGGAGUCCAGACCGGGUGAGGCGCGUUCCCGCGCACGCCUCCAUCAGGCGGUUCAGAGUCUGCCGGCCGCCGUUUCACAGACCAACAUGGAGCCUUCAGGCCUCCCCUCACCUGUGACAUGGCCGACCGGCGUCCAGAAAACACGCUCGGACGCUGAGAGGCAGAAGGCGAGAAAGUGCGAUGAACAAAGCUUCAGAUUACGAAAGAGACAAACUCGCUCCGCCUGACAUCUGACUAAAUACUUUCAUUGUUUCUCCUGUGAAAAACAAGUAUCAAAUGUCGCAGCUGGGGGAGCGAAGAGGCAGACUUGUGAGUCCUGCCUCGUAAUCCAGUCCACCGUGGGCUCAUGGGAAUGAAGAUGUGCUGCACCAGUCAGUCAGGGCUGACAUUUGUAGGACAAAAGCCCAUGAGUGUCUACCUGGGUUCAACAUCAUCACGAGCAGUCUGAUCACCAUUAGUUCUCCAAAGCCUCCAAGCCACGUCACGACUUACCUCAAGCCCCAGUUUCUCUCCAUGCCACGACCACAAAUCCACGGCAGAAUCAUCACGCCGUCAGAGAAAUCACAUCAAGACUUCUCCACUGGUCCUCAUCCAGAACAAUAAAUCCUCUUAUUCUCCA